rnacentral:rRNA from 1 species
UCUACGGGAGGCAGCAGUGAGGAAUAUUGGUCAAUGGACGAGAGUCUGAACCAGCCAAGUAGCGUGAAGGAUGACUGCCCUAUGGGUUGUAAACUUCUUUUAUAUGGGAAUAAAAUGUUCCACGUGUGGGAUUUUGUAUGUACCAUAUGAAUAAGGAUCGGCUAACUCCGUGCCAGCAGCCGCGGUAAUACGGAGGAUCCGAGCGUUAUCCGGAUUUAUUGGGUUUAAAGGGAGCGUAGGUGGAUUGUUAAGUCAGUUGUGAAAGUUUGCGGCUCAACCGUAAAAUUGCAGUUGAAACUGGCAGUCAUGAGUACAGUAGAGGUGGGCGGAAUUCGUGGUGUAGCGGUGAAAUGCUUAGAUAUCACGAAGAACUCCGAUUGCGAAGGCGGCUCACUGGACUGCAACUGACACUGAGGCUCGAAAGUGUGGGUAUCAAACAGGAUUAGAUACCCGAGUAGUC